AAACUUCGCACGUUUCUUCCCAAAAAUAAGAAGAAAAAAAAACUUUCAGCAGAUAAGAAAAAAACAAUAAACUCUCUUUAAUGGUGCCCUCUUUAACUUUCUGCUCUCACGUCUUCUUCUUCCUCUAUUUGACAAUCCCACGUAUAUCCAUCAUCAUCAUGUGAACCCUUAAUAUAUUUAAUCCCGUCUGAUUCAUUCAUCUUAACCUUAUGAGACAAAAAGCGUUAUCAGUGGAUGAUUAGGGUUUUAUGCUUCUGAGAUGAAAGUUGAAGAAAGUUAGGGUUUCGAAUGGAGAGGAUGAAGUUGAUUUGCUAUUUUUAGAGGAAGCAAAUUAGAAUCACAAAAAACAAGCUUGAUCAAGGUUGUUUAACCGGUUUGCUUGAAUCUCCACCAACAAAAAAGGUGACUGAGUCCAUAUACACAUGGUUUUACUAACCUAAAAACUGAAUGUACAAGGAAUACAAGCCUAUUAACUCUACUCUAGGUUGUAUGUGUCAAUUGAUGAUUUAGCUGGGAUUCUAGGAACAAGAUUUGUGUUUGGUUGGAUUAAGUCUGUUGAGGUUUAUUGGGUUCGUAUAGCAUGGCGAGUUAAGGGAAAUAUUGGAGUUUUCCUCUCCAAGGCUCUUUACGGGGUUUUAGGUAUAGUCUUUUAGUCUUUUUUUCCCCCCCCCCUUUUUCUUAUGUACUUUGAACUGCCUUCAUAUGUGCAUUCGAGUAACAAGACUAAUUGAAAUAGCUGUACUCAUUUUGUUGAUUUAUGAAAAAGCUAGGCAUUAUAGACACAAAAUGCGCAUGGGAAGCUUAGUGUCGGUACGUACCAAUAUAGCACAAUAUGUGUGAGCCUUAUUACUUGCGUACCUGAUGUGCCAAGACAUUCAUGUACUUAGUACUUAGUCGACUGCAGUAUUCAUUCAUUAUAGAUUCUCAGAGAGUUCUUAUUUUUUACAAUCAUGAAUGGAUCGUGUGUUCAGCAAAGGGAUUUUAGUCGGUAACAGCAUUCAUUCUCAGAGAUUAUCAGAACAUUGAAACAGGAACGUUGUUCUGAAGGGAAAAGGCUGCUCAUGACUUUUCUUCUGAAGAUACUGCUUACGGUAUAAGUUGCCAAGUUGUAAUUUUCUUUUGAUAUUUUACUAAGCUUUGUUUGAUUCUUGAAGUGGGACGAAUUUAGACUAUAAAAUCAAUCAAGAAAGUCCUACAGUCGUCGUUUCUUUCAUAUUUACGCAAGUGAGAUAAAGGAAGUGUCCUAAGGAUUUGGUGUAUUCUAAGUAUUGUGUUGUGUGAUUAAGGCUAAGCCUUUGACUCUUGAUCA